GAUGAACGCUGGCGGCGUGCCUAAUACAUGCAAGUCGAGCGAACGGACGAGAAGCUUGCUUCUCUGAUGUUAGCGGCGGACGGGUGAGUAACACGUGGAUAACCUACCUAUAAGACUGGGAUAACUUCGGGAAACCGGAGCUAAUACCGGAUAAUAUUUUGAACCGCAUGGUUCAAAAGUGAAAGACGGUCUUGCUGUCACUUAUAGCUGGAUCCGCGCUGCAUUAGCUAGUUGGUAAGGUAACGGCUUACCAAGGCAACGAUGCAUAGCCGACCUGAGAGGGUGAUCGGCCACACUGGAACUGAGACGCGGUCCAGGCGCCUACGAGAGGCAGCAGUAGGGAAUCUUCCGCAAUAGGCGAAAGCCUGACGGAGCAACGCCGCGUGAGUGAUGAAGGUCUUCGGAGCGUAAUACUCUGUUAUUAGGGAAGAACAUAUGUGUAAGUAACUGUGCACAUCUUGACGGUACCUAAUCAGAAAGCCACGGCUAACUACGUG
rnacentral:rRNA from 1 species